GACGAACGCUGGCGGCGUGCCUAAUACAUGCAAGUCGAACGCAGGGGGGACGGGUGAGUAACACGUGGGUAACCUCGCAUCAGAGGGGAUAACACUUGGAAACAGGUGCUAAACCGAUAGUGAUGGAUGAAACGGCGGUGCAUUAGCUAGCUGGGGGGGUAACGGCUCACCAAGGCCACGAUGCAUAGCCGGCCUGGGAGGAGGAUCGGCCACACUGGGACUGAGACACGGCCCAGACUCCUACGGGAGGCAGCAGUAGGGAAUCUUCGGCAAUGGACGAAAGUCUGACCGAGCAACGCCGCGGGAGUGAAGAAGGUUUUCGGGUCGUAAAACUCUGUUGUUAGAGAAGCGGUAUCUAACCAGAAAGCCACGGCUAACUACGUGCCAGCAGCCGCGGUAAUUC
rnacentral:rRNA from 1 species